rnacentral:rRNA from 1 species
UACGGAGGGUGCAAACGUGGCUCGGAAUCAUUGGGCGUAAAGCGCACGUAGGCGGCCUGUUAAGGCGGGUGUGAAAGCCCUGGGCUCAACCCAGGAAGUGCACUCGAAACUGGCGGGCUUGAAUAUGGAAGAGGGUCGCGGAAUUCCCGGUGUAGAGGUGAAAUUCGUAGAUAUCGGGAGGAACACCAGUGGCGAAGGCGGCGACCUGGGCCAAUAUUGACGCUGAGGUGCGAAAGCGUGGGGAGCAAACAGG